AGAGAGAGAGAGAGAGGGAGGGAGAAGAAGAAGCAGAAAGCUACUUGUUUGUUUAUUUUGUUUCUCUCGUCUUCUUUUCGUUGUUCGUUGUUCUCUCAUGUCUUUUU
rnacentral:ribozyme from 1 species